UACGGAGGAUGCAAGCGUUAUCCGGAAUGAUUGGGCGUAAAGCGUCCGCAGGUGGCAAUGUAAGUCUGCUGUUAAAGAGUCUAGCUCAACUAGAUAAAAGCAGUGGAAACUACAUAGCUAGAGUACGUUCGGGGCAGAGGGAAUUCCUGGUGUAGCGGUGAAAUGCGUAGAGAUCAGGAAGAACACCAGUGGCGAAGGCGCUCUGCUAGGCCGUAACUGACACUCAUGGACGAAAGCUAGGGGAGCGAAUGGG
rnacentral:rRNA from 1 species